UACAGAGGGGGCAAGCGUUGUUCGGAAUUACUGGGCGUAAAGCGCACGUAGGCGGAUUGUUAAGUCGGGGGUGAAAUCCUGGAGCUCAACUCCAGAACUGCCUUUGAUACUGAAGAUCUUGAGUUCGGGAGAGGUGAGUGGAACUGCGAGUGUAGAGGUGAAAUUCGUAGAUAUCAGGAAGAACACCCGUGGCGAAAGCGGCUCUCUGGAACGGUACUGACGCUGAGACGCGAAAGCGUGGGGAGCGAACAGG
rnacentral:rRNA from 1 species